rnacentral:rRNA from 1 species
CCCUUAGAUGUUCUGGGCCGCACGCGCGCUACACUGAUGCAUUCAACGAGCCUAUCCUUGACCGACAGGUCCGGGUAAUCUUUGAAUCUGCAUCGUGACGGGGAUAGAUUAUUGCAAUUAUUAAUCUUCAACGAGGAAUGCCUAGUAGGCGCAAGUCAUCAGCUUGCGUCGAUUACGUCCCUGCCCUUUGUACACACCGCCCGUCGCUCCUACCGAUUUGGUGUGCUGGUGAAAUGUUCGGAUCGGCCGUUUGUCGCGGUUUCCGCGGCUCGUGGCUGAGAAGUUCAUUAAACCCUCCCACCGAGAGGAAGGAGAAGUCGUAACA